GGAUGUGAGGACGUUAUCACUGCGACAUCUGUCACCUCAUUGAUCGCCAGGGUUGAUUCUGCUGAUCUGGCUGGCUAGGCGGGUGUCCCCUUCCUCCCUCACCGCUCCAUGUGCGUCCCUCCUGAAGCUGCACUCUUGGUCAAAGAGGAUGGCCUUACCUGAAUAGAGACAGACCCAUCUUUGGUUGAUGGUAUAUGAGUAGCUGUGCUCCCCUGCUAGAACCUCUAAACAAGCUCCCUACUGUGUGUAUGGUUGUUAAAUACCCUAAUUUUUGUGAUGCACAUUCUCAAUACCCACUAUAAACUUUUGA
rnacentral:snRNA from 1 species